rnacentral:ncRNA from 1 species
AGUAAAGCUAUGACUGGAACGAGUAGGUCGAAUGAGCAGUGUCAGCGAGUUAGGGUAUUGGUGUGAGCCUAAUCUCUGCAGCGUACCGAAUAUCCCCCAGGAGCGUCUCUUGAAGCGAGUAGAGAGAAACGGGUCAUGCCGUUACACAUGAUCGAGUGAUUAAGCUUAUGUUCGUUACACCUGAGUGUGUAAGUUCAUUUAGCUUUUUAACGAGGGUGGUACCGCGAGCUAGAGUUUCUCGUCCCUUUU